UCAUGCAGGGCAUACUGGGGUUUCAGGGGGCCGUACGGCCCCUGAGCUCCCCAGCCCCCACCGGCUCCAUCACGGAGCUGGCAAUCGUCACAGAGAUGAGCGUGCGCAUGUCUCUGUGAUGUGCGCAUGCGCGCGCAAAGGACUGCUGGGUUUUUUUGCAAAUAACGUCGGGGAAGGGGCGGCAGGGAGGUGUCCUGCCGCCCCAAUUACACAGAGGAUUACGGCACCAAGCGGGAAAGCGGCGGGAGGGGUAAGUAAACCCCCAGACCGAACCACCCAGCUCCGGACCAGUCCGGAGGCUUUUUAAAUAGCCUGCAGACUGGUCUGGGCCCAUCCCUAUUGCACUCCCCAUGCAUAUAAGAGGCAUAUAAUCUUUGGAGACUUUCAAGAGAGCCAUAGACCCAUCUUUUCAGCCUGAUUUUUAAUAAUAUUGAAUUGGUUUUAAAUGGUUUUAAAAAUGAGUUAAUGUUAAUAUUUUAACUGCUUUUUAUUUUAUGUUAAAUAUUAAAUAAUUUGAAUUUUUGAUGUAAACCAUACUAAGCCGUUCUGGGAUGCGUGGUAUAUACAUGAAAUGAAUGUCUGUGCGCGCGCGUGUGUGUGUGUGUGUGUGUGUGUGUGUGUGUGUGUGUGUGGUGAUGCUGUUGUUGAUGGAGAAAAUGCUUUUUUCCUCCCUAGUGUAUAAUCAUCUCUGAAGGACCACCUUCUCCCAUGUGAACCUGGCAUUUAUGGCAGAAAGAUGAAAUAAAAAAUAGAAAUUGAAGAAAUAUCCAUACCACCCUUGUAUUCAUCAGCUUUCACUUGUGUAAGCAGUGCAAGCUUAAACUCCAACCCUGUUUGGACAGAACAACAAACCAGAGGAGCCCAGAAUCCUUCCUGUUGGGAAUAACGCAAGGAGAGUUUUCUACAAGCAAUUUAACAUUCUUCAUGUAUGCAACCACGGUGGCCAGAAUAUUAUAUGCACAGAAAUGGAAGGACAAUGAACUGCCCUCAAAAGAAGAUUGGCUGAUAAAAAUUUUGGAAUAUGCGGAGAUGGCAAAACUUACAGUACUGAUAAGAGAUCAAAAUUUGGAAGGUUUUAAAGAAGAUUGGAAAUCAUUCUUACUGUAUCUAAAGAACUAUUUUCCUAAUAUUGGUUUUUCAACAGGGUUUGAAAUUUAGUAAUAUUAGCAGGUUGAGUAGAUUAAAAUCGAGUUUGGUAAGAUAUAGGAUAUAUGUUUUGAAUUAUUAUAGCAAGGGUUAAUUGUAUAGUUAGUGAUUCGCGCUGACUGGUGAGCUGGAAGUCAAUUUUUGUUUAAUUGGAUGGAGUGAGAUGUUCAAGAUAUUGUUAAAAUCAAUAAAAAUUUAAAGCACAAAAAAGAAAGAAAGAAAA